rnacentral:rRNA from 1 species
AUUGAACGCUGGCGGCAGGCCUAACACAUGCAAGUCGAGCGAGCGGCGGACGGGUGAGUAAUGUAUGGGGACUGCCCGAUAGAGGGGGAUAACUACUGGAAACGGUGGCUAAUACCGCAUACUAUCGGAUAACCCAUAUGGGAUUAGCUAGUAGGUGGGGUAAAGGCUCACCUAGGCGACGAUCUCUAGCUGGUCUGCGAGGAUGAUCAGCCAAAAUGAGACUGAGACACGGCCCAGACUCCUACGGAGGCAGCAGUGGGGAAUAUUGCACAAUGGGAGAAAGCCUGAUGCAGCCAUGCCGCGUGUAUGAAGAGGGCCUUCGGGUUGGAAAGUACUUUCAGUCGGGAGGCGUUACCGACAGAAGAAGCAACGGCUAACUCCGUGCGAGCAGCCGCGGUAAUAC